rnacentral:lncRNA from 1 species
UUUAUUGGAAAAAGGAAAAAAGGGACCUUUUUUUGGCUGGCUUAGCUCAUUGCACGGCCACUUUCGGCGUCCCCCCCUCCCGUUUGCGUGGCCGCCGCUCCGCGGAGGAGGGACCCGAGUGGGGCCAAAUCCGGCUCUUUUCCUCCCGGCAGGGAAUGGAGCCGCUUGUCCCGGGAGUCCCGAGACGCAGGUAAAACCGGCGCUCGCGUCCCCAUCCCACCGGCCACGCGCCCGCGGCCUCCGCGUCCCACCUGCCGCGGCUCCUUCCCGCGUGCCGCAGGCGUCCCCGGCUUGCGACAGCGAGGAGGAGGAGGAGGAGGAAGAGAAAGAGGAGGAGGAGGAGGAAGGCUGCGGGGCGGAGGAGUGGCACUGCCGCUGCGAGGCCGAGCGGGCCAAAGCCCUGCAGCUGGAGCGGCAGCUGGCGACGAAGACGCGGGAGUGCGAGCGGCUCUCGGCCGGCAUCCGGGAGCAGGCGCGGGAGCUGGAGCAGCUGCUGCCCGGCGCCGGGAGCACGGAGCCAAGCGCGGAGCCGAGCCGGGAUGUGCCAGAGGGCGAGUGUUGCCUGAGCCUCCUGGCUGAGCAUGUGCGGGAGCUGAGGAGGAGGAAGGAGGAGGAGGAAGAGCGCGGCAGGCCGCGGGAGCUCGAGGGCCCGCCGGAAAACGCGCCGGGAGCGCUCGCUGCCUCCGAGCGGGAGCUGCGGGCGCUGCUGGCGCCGUUCCUCGCCUGGCUGUGGGACGCCUGCACCGGGCUGCGGGAGGAGAAGCUCGGCGCCUUCGCCCGGAGCGCGGCGCUGAGGAAGGAGGUGGAGGAAGCCCUGCGGAGCAAGCUGCACUACGAGGUGGUGCCGGCCGACGCCGUCCGGAAGAGCCUGGCGGCCUGGGAGAAGCUGGUGCUGGGGCUGGAGCGGGCGCUGAGCCGCGCCGACGAGAGCGGCGCCGAGCUGCUGCGGAGAUCCCGGCCGCUCCUGGAGAUCCUCGGGGCGCCGCGGAGCCAGCAGGCACCGGAGCAGCCGCUUCCCGCACCGGAGCCUUCCCAAGGGAACGGCACGAAUCCGGGCCGGAGCGGAGCAGGCGCACCGGAGAGCGAUGCCGAAGAGCGGAGCGGCGAGCUGGAGAAGGAGGUGCUGGAGCUCAAGGAGAGCAACGGGAAGCUCCUGGGCGAGCUGGCCCGGCUGGGCCGGGAGCGCGAGCGGCUGCAGGAAGAGCUGCGCGGGCUGCGGGAGAGGGAUGCUGGCACCGUGGCCGCCGAGGCGCCGGGGCGGCUGAGACGGCGGCUGGCGGAGCAGCGGCGGGAGCUGGCGGCGUUGCGGGACGACCUGAGCGCCCGGGCGCGGGAAGAAGCUGGAAGCCAGCGCUCCGGCGCCUGCAUCCUCCAGGAGCUGCAUCGCAAGCUGGACGGGCUGGUGAGGAAGCAGCACGAGGCCUUGCAACUCGU